GACGAACGCUGGCGGCGUGCCUAAUACAUGCAAGUAGAACCCACAGUUUAUACCGUAGCUUGCUACACCAUAGACUGUGAGUUGCGAACGGGUGAGUAACGCGUAGGUAACCUGCCUGGUAGCGGGGGAUAACUAUUGGAAACGAUAGCUAAUACCGCAUAAUAUUAAUUAUUGCAUGAUAAUUAAUUGAAAGGUGCAAUUGCACCACUACCAGAUGGACCUGCGUUGUAUUAGCUAGUAGGUGAGGUAACGGCUCACCUAGGCAACGACACAUAGCCGACUUGAGAGGUGGUCGGCCAAACUGGGACUGAGACACGGCCCAGACUCCUACGGGAGGCAGCAGUAGGGAAACUUCGGCAAUGGACGGAAGUCUGACCGAGCAACGCCGCGUGAGUGAAGAAGGUUUUCGGAUCGUAAAGAUCUGUUGUAAGAGAAGAACGGGUGUGAGAGUGGAAAGUUCACACUGUGACGGUAUCUUACCAGAAAGGGACGGCUAACUACGUG
rnacentral:rRNA from 1 species